rnacentral:lncRNA from 1 species
AAACACCGACCCUUGGGUUUCUUAGCCUCCAGUGCACCGCCGCCGCAGCCAUGAAGACCGGUGGCCGACGACGGAGGAAAAGAGGUCAAAGACCUCGGCCUUAGAAUACCCCGAGGGCUGAACCCUUCAACCUUAAAAAAGAAAAGAGGAAGAUUCUCAGCACCCUCUAGAUCCGGCGGUCGCAAAGGAGGAGAACCCUCCGUGAGCUGGAUCCCGG